GAUGAAGAACGUAGUGAAAUGUGAUAAGUAAUGUGAAUUGCAGAAUCUUGUGAAUCAUCGAAUUUUUGAACGCACAUUGCGCCCUAUGGAAUUCCAUAGGGCAUGCCUGUCUGAGCGUCAGCUCCCACCCCCUCAAGUCUUCUUUUAUUUGGAGAUUUGGAUUAGUUUGAGGAAGUGUCCUUUUUAGUGCUGCUCCUCAGAAAUCUAUAGGCAGUAUGGUCAAACCUGAACAAGGCGUAAUAAGGAUAUAAAAUCGUCUAUAAAGGAAUGCCUGUACUAGUCUUCAACCCAUUUAUUUAUACUUGGGUGACCUCAGAUCAGGUAGGGAUACCCGCUGAACUUAAGCAUAUCAAUAAGCGGAGGA
rnacentral:misc_RNA from 1 species